rnacentral:rRNA from 1 species
AUUGAACGCUGGCGGCAGGCCUAACACAUGCAAGUCGAGCGGAGCGUCGGACGGGUGAUUAAUGCCUAGGCAUCUGCAUGGUGGUGGGGGAUACCGCCCGGAAACAGGCGCUAAUAACGCAUCAUAGCAGAAGAGCCUAGGUCGGAGCAGCGAGUUGGUGGGGUAAAGGCCUACCAAGGCGACGAGCCGUAACUGGGCUGAGCGGAUGAUCAGUCACACUGGAACGGAGACACGGUCCAGACUCCUACGGGAGGCAGCAGUGGGGAAUCUUUGCCAAUGGGCGAAAGCCUGAUCCAGCCAUGCCGCGUGUGUGAAGAAGGUCUUCGGAUUGUAAAGCACUUUAAGUUGGGAAGCGUUACCAACAGAAUAAGCACCGGCUAACUUCGUGCCAGCAGCCGCGGUAAUUC